UACGUAGGCUGCGAGCGUUGUUCGGAAUUACUGGGCGUAAAGAGUGUGUAGGCGGUGCUCCAAGUCUGUUGUGAAAUCUCCCGGCUUAACUGGGAGGGUGCGGCGGAAACUAGAGUGCUAGAGGGUGGGAGAGGUAAGCGGAAUUCCUGGUGUAGCGGUGAAAUGCGUAGAUAUCAGGAGGAACACCUGUGGUGUAGACAGCUUACUGGACCACUUCUGACGCUGAGACACGAAAGCGUGGGUAGCAAACAGG
rnacentral:rRNA from 1 species